GACGAACGCUGGCGGCGUGCCUAACACAUGCAAGUCGAGCGAUGAAACCCUUCGGGGUGGAUUAGCGGCGGACGGGUGAGUAACACGUGGGUAACCUGCCUCAAAGAGGGGAAUAGCCUUCCGAAAGGAAGAUUAAUACCGCAUAAUAUGUUUUGAUCGCAUGAUCUAGACAUCAAAGGAGUAAUCCGCUUUGAGAUGGACCCCGCGGCGCAUUAGCUAGUUGGUGAGGUAACGGCUCACCAAGGCGACGAUGCGUAGCCGACCUGAGAGGGUGAUCGGCCACAUUGGAACUGAGACACGGUCCAGACUCCUACGGGAGGCAG
rnacentral:rRNA from 1 species